rnacentral:siRNA from 1 species
AGGUGAUCAUCCGCGCUACGCCGC